rnacentral:tRNA from 1 species
GCCCUUGUAGUUCAAUGGAUAGAACGGCUCACUCCUAACGAGCAGAUGUAGGUUCGAUUCCUGCCAGGGGCACCC